CGGCAAAGUUAUAAUGAUGGUUAUGAAGUGCGUGAAACGCCAUUUUGUUAUUCUCGAUCAUUCUUGGGAUCUUGACUUGGUCAGUCUAGCGAAAACAAAUGGUGUGAACAGUAUUGGUUCGUGCUGAUUAACAAUGUUCGUUGUGUAAUUAAUCUUGGUGGUAUCAAAUCCAGAUGCUAUUAAUCAAAGAAGUUAUUUAAUUAAUUUUGAAUAACUCAAAAAUGGUUCAAGAAAAUUCGAACGAGAGCAACGAAGACCAUGCAAUGGAUUACGACGCAGACGAGUCGGCACAAAUUCAAAAGAAAAUCGAGAAGAAAGGUAAAAACGUUAAAAGAGGAAUAAUCUAUCUGUCCACAAUUCCGAAAUAUAUGAACAUCACGAUGAUCCGAGAGAUAUUUUCUGCUUAUGGGAAAGUGGGCAGAGUAUAUCUGCAGCUAGUCGACAAUGAGACACAAUCAGUGAAACAUAAAAAGAAAACCAAGAAAGUAAUCAAGCAUUUUACUGAAGGUUGGAUAGAAUUUGAAAGUAAAAAAGUAGCAAAAUUUGUAGCAGAGACGUUAAACAAUACUCAAGUGUCCACGAGAAAGAAAAGCAAAUUCUAUGAUGUUAUGUGGAAUAUAAAGUAUUUGCCUAGAUUUAAAUGGAUUCAUUUGAGUGAACGAUUAGCAUAUGAACGUGCAGUUCAUAAGCAAAGACUUCUAACAGAGAUAGCGCAAGCUAAGAGAGAAAUUAACUUCUUCUCAUAUAAUGUAGACAGAAGUAAAAAACUGCGUAGAAAGCAUGAACAAGGGGAGGAGACGACAUUUGAAUUGCCUGAAGUUAAGCAAAGGGAUACUGAUAAUGAAAUAAGGAAUAGGAAAGCAAAUACCCAAGUAGAAGACAGAACAGAGUUCCUUAAAUCAAUAUUUGGAUAAAAAUUUUUUUAAUUUUAUAAUUUACACUUGUGUCUCUUCUCGGAAGAUCAACAACCUCUCGAAAGUAUCCUUGUCCACAGAAACGUCUCUCGAAAAACUGCCAUUUGGUAUUAAAACUAAAAUCAUAUAGAAGAAAAUUACGGAAAUAACAUUCAGUAAGCAAAAAAUGUUUACAAAAGAGGCAGGUAUAGUUCACCAUUGAAGAAUUCAAGAUAUCAUUAUAAGAAAUUGUAUUAAAUGAAGCGGUUGUAAGCCAACAGCGAUAUCCACGGCAUUGAUGUUAUCUACAACAAAUAUAAACGUAAUUAAAAUAGGAGGUAA